rnacentral:lncRNA from 1 species
GCAAUAAGGUUGUGGUGCCUCCUAACCCUAAUCCCAAUGCCCCCUUAUAAAUAGGAUCCAAAAAGUUGGACGCCUAAGGGAUGAGAUCAAUUCCUCUCUGAUGCCUAGCCUCCUUUCUUCUCUUCCCUAUUCCUCCUCUUCCUUAUUCCUCUUCUAGUUCUUCUUUAUCCUAUAGAGCGUCUGUGAGAUAUGAAGAAAAAGCC